GCCUAAGGUGGGAUAGAUGAUUGGGGUGAAGUCGUAACAAGGUAGCCGUAUCGGAAGGUGCGGCUGGAUCACCUCCUUU
rnacentral:rRNA from 2 species